GGCGGAGGGAAGCUCAUCGUUGGGGCCACAAGCUGAGUGCGCUACGUCACUCCCCGACCCAGCCCUUGGGAAGGUCUGAGACAAGGGCCAUUAGCGGCCCUAGCAGGGCCCCUCCCGCGAUCGUGGGGGGGUGAGUUCCCAGAGAAUGGGCCCCGGCUCGGGGGUAGACUGGGCAGGAGAAGCCCCUGCGGGCUCCACCCCCCGUGGGUGGCCGGGGCGGAUGCCUCCCCCGACCGGGCUUGGAAACGACUCACGGCCGGCGAAGUGAGUGCAAUGGCUGAGGUGGGCCACCUGGCGGGGCCCAUAACCCAAUUCAGACUACUCUCCCACGCC
rnacentral:RNase_P_RNA from 1 species